ensembl:ncRNA F25H8.11 ncRNA
CUAAGUAAAAAAUAAAAUUGCGUAGUUGCGCAAUCGUAAUAAAGCCGCCGUGAUGGCGUCGUUGCGGAUAGCAGAAAGGAGGAUCAGAUAUUGAUAAGAUAAACGAAAAAUGAAACAGCAAGCGACGCAAAU